AUCUAGGGCAGCCUUGAGUUAUAUCACCAAAACAAACUCUCUAUACUUUUGUAAACACCUUAAUUUUCUUCUUUUUGCUCAACUUUGAAGCAGCUUGUAGCCAACAAUGAGGCCUUUUACUGCUGUUUUUCUUGUCCUCCUGCUUGUCUUGGCCGCAGAGAUGGGACCAAGAGUAGCUGAAGCAAGAACAUGUGAAACAGCAAGCCAUAAGUUCAAAGGAGCAUGCAUAAGUAAAAGGAACUGCGAAAAUGUCUGUCAAACUGAAGGUUUUUCUGGUGGUGAUUGUCAAGGCCUUCGCAGAAGAUGCUUUUGCACUAAGCCCUGCGCUUAAUUACCCUCUUAUUAUUCAUUAUUUUCGUGCUUCUUAAUUAUGUAUCUUCAAUGUAUGGGGUCGGAUUAAAAUAAAUUUAAGGUUGCGAAAGUUGUUACUCGUAUGUUAAAUUUUUGUGAAAAAUAAUGUGUUUGUCGCAUGUAUCGGGACUACUAGUAUGUGCAAUAAAAUUGUACGUUUGUUGUGACUAAAGUGGUAAUAUAUGUGAAUGAUACGUGGUUGAUGGAGGAGUUAAAA